GAAGGCCGAAAUUGAGACAGAGGGAAGAGAGAAAAACUUUUAAAUUUUCAUUUUAAUUUCCUUGCUUGAUUUAUGAAGAAUUCAAAGACCAACCUUAAUCCAUACCGAUUAAUUUUGAGUUAAGUUUGGAACGAAACUUUUGAUGGAGUUACUUGAGGAAUAAAGUUCUUGAGUUGCUUGUUAUCUUGGGGUUUUGAGGAAUGGAGGUUCGAAACAAUUGAAUGUGAAUUAGAGUGUAUAACCCUCUUAUACUUAUACUUUUGGUUGAUAGGAUAUAUUUUGACAUUUGACGUUGUAUCAUACAUUUGAUUUUUUGGUUGUAAAUAAGUUUGUAUUUUGGUUGAAUGGUAGAACUUAAAUGUUAUUUUGGAGGCUUGAAUGAUUAAUCUUGAGAGUUGAUUGAGUGAGUGAGUGAAUCUUAACGAAAGUUAGACAGACAGUCCGCCAAACCUUUGGGUACACCUUAGAAGGAGGUGGGGUCGUCACACUGAUCACAUGAUGUCAGGACCUAAAGAGGCUACCCCGGCACCAGCCAAGCCGACCCCAAGGGGCAUAAGGGAACCCUAUUGUAUCAUAGGUUUAUAUGAUGGAAAUCCAACCGGUUCAUAUAGAGAACUAGAUGGCAAAGAUCUCUAGUUUAUAUAACACUAAACAUCCUCUGAAUUAGGUUGUUAGUUACUAGGCAAGAAAAUUUUGACAGCUUCACAUCGUUGUAGGUUGAAGAGUUAGCCCAUGGCGAGCAUAAAUACAUGUAAUGAUUGACAUAUUACGAAAUUUGAUGAUAUUCAACUUUGAUCAUGCUACUA